rnacentral:rRNA from 1 species
AUGGAUCUUGGGCGCCUGAACUACGGGGUAGUCACUCUUAUCCCCAAAGUUCCGGGUGCGACGGACAUCCGGCAAUUCCAACCCAUCACUGUGAUCAAUGUGAUUUUUCGGAUCCUGGCCAAAGGGUACGCCAAUAGGGUGACCCGGCUCGCCGACUCGAUCACCCACCCCAAUCAGCCGGCUUUCAUUCAGGGCCGUUUUAUCCUAGAUGGGGUGUUGGUCUUCCACGAGGUCCUUCACGAAGUCCGCUCCAAGCACGAACGGGCGGUAUUCCUGAAGCUUGAUUUCCAUAAAGCCUAUGACACUGUGCACUGGCCCUUCCUUCGGGAAGUUUUA